rnacentral:rRNA from 1 species
GAUGAACGCUGGCGGCGUGCUUAACACAUGCAAGUCGAACGGAAAGGCCCAAGUUUGCUUGGGUACUCGAGUGGCGAACGGGUGAGUAACACGUGGGUGAUCUGCCCCGCACUUCGGGAUAAGUCUGGGAAACUGGGUCUAAUACCGGAUAGGACCGUGGUUUGGAUGCUAUUGUGGAAAGUUUUUUGGGUGUGGGAUGAGCUCGCGGCCUAUCAGAUUGUUGGUGGGGUGAUGGCCUUCCAAGGCGUCGGCGGGUUGCCGGGCCGGGAGGGUGUACGGGCACAAUUGGGCUUAGAUACCGGCCAGGCUCCUAAGGGGGGGAAGAAGUGGGGAUUUUGCACAAUGGGGGCGAGCCCUAUGCAGCGACGCCGCGGUGGGGAUGACCGGCCUCGGGGUGUAAACUCGCUUUGGUAGGUGCGGAGCGGUAUGUGACGGUAACUAGAGAAGAAGCACCGGCUAACUACGUG